CCGCCUCAACUUUGUGGUCCCAAGACCGGUGCGGCACCGCACGACAUCGUAACGCAUCGUAUGGCAUGGUACAGCGAUUUUCAUGUCGGAUGACGCAGCGGCACCGCUCAAGCGCCGCACCGCCAACGCAACGCAUCGUGUGGCUUCACUCUGAGUAGGUACCU